rnacentral:rRNA from 1 species
GAUGAACGCUGGCGGCGUGCCUAACACAUGCAAGUCGAGCGAUUUACUUCUGUGAAGAGCGGCGGACGGGUGAGUAACGCGUGGGUAACCUGCCCUGUAUACACGGAUAACAUACCGAAAGGUAUGCUAAUACGAGAUAAUAUACUUUUAUCGCAUGGUAGAAGUAUCAAAGCUCCGGCGGUACAGGAUGGACCCGCGUCUGAUUAGCUAGUUGGUAAGGUAACGGCUUACCAAGGCGACGAUCAGUAGCCGACCUGAGAGGGUGAUCGGCCACAUUGGAACUGAGACACGGUCCAAACUCCUACGGGAGGCAGCAGUGGGGAAUAUUGCACAAUGGGCGAAAGCCUGAUGCAGCAACGCCGCGUGAGCGAUGAAGGCCUUCGGGUCGUAAAGCUCUGUCCUCAAGGAAGAUAAUGACGGUACUUGAGGAGGAAGCCCCGGCUAACUACGUGCCAGCCGCCGCAGUAA